UGUGAAGGUAUUGCAGGACUCUGCGAUGAAGCCCUGAACCUUUCUGUUUAAAGGUGCCAUCCGGCUGGCCUUUGGCAGCUGCCGAGGAGUUGCGGCACACCCUGCCAUGAUGGCAUUGGCCUCCAAGCGUUGCUGAAGCUAAUGGCAUUAGGAGAUGCUAUGAGGCAGCAGCCCAGUGACAGCGAGAACUUCCCAGAUGGCAAGGCGGCCUUCUUUUGCACCUGAUGCAGAUUGGCAUCCCCAGAUGUCUGAGAGAUAAGUCAAGGGCUACGACUUGCCGAGGGGGUGAAUGUGGGGUGCUGGGUUGGGACUCACCGGGAGGGGUUUUUGAGUCUGCUUUGGGGCUGAGGCUAUCCAAGUAGUGUCCCCUUAGGCCACAGAAAGGGAAAGUGUCACUUUUGAUCCCAGUGCUGAGGUGCGCAGGGUAGAGCAGUCCCAGUGUGUAUCGUGUCACUUGUCUAACGUACCUGGUGUUGUUUAUAUGUCUCAUGUCAUGCAUCGUCUACCUUAGCCCUUUGAGGGGCCCAUCAGAAACCCUGGCAUCAUUCUUAGCGUCUGUGAUCUCUGCAUUUCUUGGCCUGGCACAAAUGCAGUAGGACUUUUGGCUCAGGAGCUCAGACAGGCAUCAGAAUUGCAUUUCUGUUUAGGAGCUUCCAGUCAGAUGUCUUUGCAGGUCUUGUUCUGAGCUGUACGUACUGCUGUGCAUCGCAAGGAUCCAUUAUGGCAGAUUAGGGCUUGUAAGAAUGCAAAGAUAGGUAGAGGAUUCUUUCCGUAGGAUUCUCAGAUGUCCAUCUUUGCAGUUCUUUGACAAAAUCAUUCUCUUAGGAGAUACUUCCUCCAUGGUUGUCUGAGCCUCAUCACCUCACUGUCAAUCUCACCUCAGUCAUUUCAUUUUCCAUUCUCUCAGUCCUUGCAGUCAUUCUUCUUGUCAAGAGAUUUCUGUCCCUGUUGUGUCCUCAUUGUUUGUCCUGUCCCGUGUCACGGGCGUCCGCACACGUUUGUGUUGGCGCUGCUCUGCCCUGCCGCGUAGCCUGGUGUAAUAGGACACAUCCUGGGGGCUUGGAAUUUGUAAUGUGGGGUGUAGUUGGAUUCUAGAUGGUAUUCCUAGGUUGACUCUAGGAAGUUGUCUGGAGCUGUGAAGUUAUCCUGCUGCCCUUUGAACUUUGUCCUGACUCUGUUUCAGAUGCAGACAGAUAAAAUCCAUGGCAGAGCUCCCUA